CUGUGGUUGUCUAAUGCCUAACCUCAAAUAAAAUGUACAGAAAUAUACAAAUUUUUUAUCAUAAAAAUCAGUUAUAUUCAUAUUUUGAAUAAUUUAUGUUUAUCUAUGUAAAUUGAAACCUUAAGGUGGAUCAUAUAUAAUCAAAUUGUUUUCAAGGGCCUUCACCACCUUUUUAUGCAUUAUAUUCACAAAAAUAAGAAAGAAUGGAAGAUAAACACUCCAAAAGAAUAAACCAGUAUCUCCAACAUUUGACUGAGGAGCGAGACUAUCUCACAGAUAAUGUAUAUAGGAUUAUUAAGCAUGCCACUAAUCAAGUUGAAUCUCUAACUAAAACCCAAACCCCAUCAUCAGAAAAAGAGAAAUUGCUUACAUUUCUUACAAAAUCUUUGGCCCUAUUCUCCGAACUCAACUCCACCAUACUUAAAUAUCUAGAGUGUGAAGGUAUCCCAGAAAACUCGAAACCACCUCAAGAGAAUUUACUAGAAACUUCUGGCCAUAACAUUCAAGAAGUUGAAGAUUACUAUAAAGGCUUUGACGUGAUUAAAGGUAUGCCAGUAGCAACAGAAGAGGGCCCAAAAGUCCCAAAUACCCAAGCGCAAAAUGGUUAUUAUUUCCAAAAGCCUUUAAAUGACUCCACUUUGAAAGCCAUUUGCAACACCAUCAUUAAAAGCACCCAAGAAAAGUCUAUGGCUACAAGAGUCAAACCAACUUCAUUAAUUCAAGAAGAAUGUGACUCAGUUUCAACUGUUAGCACCAGCACAUAUUGUCACCCUUUAUCGCAACUGGCUCCCCCAACUGAAAUCCCCGAGGAGUAUGAUAAUAAAGACCUGAAAAAGGUCAGAGAGAACAUGAUGUACCUCAAAGAGAAAUUAGGGUUAGAAGAUUUAAAUCAGUUGUCUCUUCAAUAUAAUAAGCAUUUCCAGGAGGCCCGCUACCACUAUGAAGAGCAAGUGAAAGAGAGUGUUGAGCAAGCCAAGGACAUUAAAACAGAUAAUAUCUUAAUUAAUAAUGCAUUUAAAGUGGAUAGGGAUAAUGGUGGUGUGGAGCAAGCGAGUGUAGUUCCAGAGCAAGUGUUAAAUAAUGAGCUGCCGGUAAAGAGUACUGGGGCUGUUAAGAAACAAAUGGGGGCUCAGAAGGAUCUGAUUGAAUUCAGUAGUGAUUCACCAUCAUCGGAAAGAGAAAAUUCCAACAAAGUAUCUUCCUGGUUAACGAGCAACGAAACUGAAGUAAUCAGUUCAGAACAACCCCAUCGUACAACCAAAUCUGCAUUAGAAAAAUUGGCCCAGAAUAAACGUCAUGACCGUAACGCAGAAAUUUGGGACAAAAUCAGAAACGACGUACCAGAACUGAAUUUUGUGCCCGCAACGAAAGUGAUAAAAAACGUUUUAAGCUCCAGCUCCUCAGAGAGAUCGUUUAACAAUAAAUCCCAUAAAAAGUCUGCAAAGACUCGAACGUCACUAUAUACCUUAAACCCCAUGGAACUACCUUCGAUUGGUGCGAUUUGCGUCUUUUCCCACAUAGUCUCGCCCGCAGAGUUUUACCUGCAAGUCUGCAACGACACGAACAGUUUUAAUGAGGACAUGAUUCGUCAUAAAUUGGACUCAAAAUUCAGCAAGAGCGAGUCGCCAUUCAAAACGAAACAAAUGGCCAGAGAGAGUUUGGGACAAUUCUGUCGCGGUUACGUCUUAAAAGAGCAAUCCUGGUUCAGAUUGAGGGUCCUAAAUUGGAAAAUAGAUUGUUCGUCCGACGAAGUGGAAGUGCAAUCAGUCGAUUAUGGGUUUAAAUGUGUCACCUCCUAUAAAUAUUUAAGAGAAUUGACGCGGGACCUCGCAGAAGUUCCUAUGUUAUGUAUUAAAUGCCAUUUCCCUUUGUUGUACCCUCCCGGUUCGACUUAUUCCAAUCGGCUCCACUAUUGGCCCGAUAAUACCAAAGAAGAAUUAGAGGAAAUUGUUAAUUUACAUUCGGGAACCGACUCUCUAGCUGAUGUCAUUUUUUUUAAAAUCGUUUUUGCCCAGUUAGACGGCGAUUCCCUCGGGGUGGACCUAGAAGAUUACGCCGGCAAACACCGUGACACUCUCGGUCGUUUCUUGGUCGACAUGCGUCUGGCUCAAGAGAUCCUCGACGAAUACGAGGAUAAUCCGGAAUUGGGCGAGUUCUUGGACGAUCUGGAUCGGUUGGAGGAGCACCACGCAGACAAUCAAAACGAAUACUUGUUCGGCUACGACGCGAAAGAUGAGGUGCGAGUAUGUCGAUUUACAAGGAAAGACGGCACCUGCUAUAAAGGGAAAAAUUGCAAGUUGGAACACGUUAUUCUCAAAGAUUGUUCAAAUUUACUUAGAAAACUUCCAACGAAGAAAUAACUUCGACGAGAAAAAAUGGAAAAGGUUCUUCAAUAAGCACAUCUCUUAUAAACUAUUCUUUGCCCAUAUCAGGUCGAAUGAACGUCCCUUAAAAGUACAACUGGAGACAUUAAAAGGCGUAGAUAUCGGACCCACUUUAGUAAAAGAACAAUUAGCCGAGCCCAGAACUAUGGAUAGCUAUUUAAGUGAUGACCCGCUAAAUAAAAAAAAUGUGCCCUCUU
rnacentral:misc_RNA from 1 species